rnacentral:tRNA from 1 species
UGUAGCUCAGUUGGUAAAGUAUUUGCCUUGCAUGCACAAGGCCCUGUGUUCAAUCCCUAGUAA